GACGAACGCUGGCGGCGUGCUUAACACAUGCAAGUCGAACGAUGAAGCCCAGCUUGCUGGGUGGAAGAGUGGCGAACGGGUGAGUAACACGUGAGUAACCUGCCCUGAACUCUGGGAUAAGCACUGGAAACGGUGUCUAAUACUGGAUACGACCCAUCACCGCAUGGUGUGUGGGUGGAAAGAUUUAUCGGUUCUGGAUGGACUCGCGGCCUAUCAGCUAGAUGGUGAGGUAAUGGCUCACCAUGGCGACGACGGGUAGCCGGCCUGAGAGGGUGACCGGCCACACUGGGACUGAGACACGGCCCAGACUCCUACGGGAGGCAGCAGUGGGGAAUAUUGCACAAUGGGCGCAAGCCUGAUGCAGCAACGCCGCGUGAGGGAUGACGGCCUUCGGGUUGUAAACCUCUUUUAGUAGGGAAGAAGCGAAAGUGACGGUACCUGCAGAAAAAGCACCGGCUAACUACGUG
rnacentral:rRNA from 1 species